UGGCCAUUUUGGGUGUUUCAGUCCCUUCUC
rnacentral:piRNA from 1 species